rnacentral:rRNA from 1 species
GUAGGUGAACCUGCGGAAGGAUCAUUACCGAGUGAGGGCCCUCUGGGUCCAACCUCCCACCCGUGUUUAUCGUACCUUGUUGCUUCGGCGGGCCCGCCUCACGGCCGCCGGGGGGCAUCCGCCCCCGGGCCCGCGCCCGCCGAAGACACACAAACGAACUCUUGUCUGAAGAUUGCAGUCUGAGUACUUGACUAAAUCAGUUAAAACUUUCAACAACGGAUCUCUUGGUUCCGGCAUCGAUGAAGAACGCAGCGAAAUGCGAUAAGUAAUGUGAAUUGCAGAAUUCAGUGAAUCAUCGAGUCUUUGAACGCACAUUGCGCCCCCUGGUAUUCCGGGGGGCAUGCCUGUCCGAGCGUCAUUGCUGCCCUCAAGCACGGCUUGUGUGUUGGGCUCUCGCCCCCCGCUUCCGGGGGGCGGGCCCGAAAGGCAGCGGCGGCACCGCGUCCGGUCCUCGAGCGUAUGGGGCUUCGUCACCCGCUCUGUAGGCCCGGCCGGCGCCCGCCGGCGAACACCAUCAAUCUUAACCAGGUUGACCUCGGAUCAGGUAGGGAUACCCGCUGAACUUAAGCAUAUCAAUAAGCGGAGGAAAAGAAACCAACAGGGAUUGCCUCAGUA